ACUCCUACGGGAGGCAGCAGUGGGGAAUAUUGGACAAUGGGCGAAAGCCUGAUCCAGCCAUGCCGCGUGUGUGAAGAAGGUCUUCGGAUUGUAAAGCACUUUAAGUUGGGAGGAAGGGCAGUAAGUUAAUACCUUGCUGUUUUGACGUUACCGACAGAAUAAGCACCGGCUAACUUCGUGCCAGCAGCCGCGGUAAUA
rnacentral:rRNA from 2 species